rnacentral:rRNA from 1 species
AUUGAACGCUGGCGGCAUGCCUUACACAUGCAAGUCGAACGGUAACAGGUCUUCGGAUGCUGACGAGUGGCGAACGGGUGAGUAAUACAUCGGAACGUGCCUAGUAGUGGGGGAUAACUACUCGAAAGAGUGGCUAAUACCGCAUGAGAUCUACGGAUGAAAGCAGGGGAUCGCAAGACCUUGUGCUACUAGAGCGGCCGAUGGCAGAUUAGGUAGUUGGUGGGAUAAAAGCUUACCAAGCCGACGAUCUGUAGCUGGUCUGAGAGGACGAUAAGCCAAACUGGGACUGAGAAACGGCCCAGACUCCUACGGGAGGCAGCAGUGGGGAAUUUUGGACAAUGGGCGCAAGCCUGAUCCAGCAAUGCCGCGUGCAGGAUGAAGGCCUUCGGGUUGUAAACUGCUUUUGUACGGAACGAAAAGCCCCGGGUUAAUACCCUGGGGUCAUGACGGUACCGUAAGAAUAAGCACCGGCUAACUACGUGCCAGCCGCCGCCGUAA